GACGCAAAAAAAAUGAAUGCAAAAGCAAAAGCAAAAAAGCAAAAAAAUGGAAAGCAGAGCAAAGCAAUAAACAAUCAAAAUUCUCUCCUUCCCUCCGACGCAAUUUUUUUUUUUUUUAAAAGACGCACUCUCUUUCUCC
rnacentral:ribozyme from 1 species